rnacentral:misc_RNA from 1 species
UUCUGUGCGAUGUGGACCCCUACUGAUUCGCUUCUAUUGAUUCCGUUGUGUGCAUCAUUCUGCCGUCGUAGCUGUUUAUUUCUUUCUACGGUUAUUUAUCAAAUAAUCAAAUCGUCCUUUAAUAUUGUGCUUCGUCAAGAUAAUUACAAAAGAAAGUGAAAGGGAUUUAAAAUGACUCCGGAGGGCUAUACUCGUGUCUACGUUGGUGGACUCAAUGAGAGCAUCAAAAAAGAAGACCUACAAAUGGAAUUUGAGAAAUUCGGCAAGCUUAACAAGGUUUGGGUGGCCUUCAAUCCUCCAGGCUUUGCCUUCAUCGAGUUUCUCAAUAUGAAUGAAGCAGAAUUGGCAUGCAAUAGUAUGAAUGGCACAGAAAUAAUGGGUGUCAAGUUAAAAGUGGAAAUUUCACGUGGUAGAGGUCGUGGUGGAGGUAGGGGUGGAGUAGGAUUCAGAGGUAGUCGUGGUACUUCUGGUAGGGAUUUCGGUUCUCGGGGUGGUGCUAGUAUGGGUUAUAGAGGAGGCAAUACGUAUGCAGAUUAUGGGGGCAGCUAUUAUGCAGGCAGGGGUGGUGGAAGUAGAGGUAGAGGACGCUACGGAGAAGAUUAUAUGUCCAAUCGUACCAGUGGGUAUGUUACUCGAGACGGAUAUAUGCAAGAUGCCUAUGGUACUACUAGCGGAGACACCGGCAUGGAAUACUACACUGGCAAGGAUACUGGCACAUCGAGGUACAGAAGCCGCUCUCCGGCUGGCCGUGGCAGGAACAAAUUGAUGGAACAACUCUAUCUAUAUCAUCAACUCUUUGAUCGCAGAAUCGCACAUGACCUCUUAACAGUGUUAUGGUAUAAUAAACAAGUUAAUAAAAGUAGAACAAAAACUAUUAUCUCUAUUAUUUUUGAAUCCUAACAUUGAAAUACGAUCAUUGAACUUACUGGAAAUAUCAUUGGUGCUCGUGUUGCUACCAUAUUGAACAUUAUCACCAAGUCAGAGGCUACAUCGGCAGGUAUGUCUUCAACGGAUAUAACUCUUAUUAUUAAAUCUUCGAUCAUGGAAUUAGUGAUGCAUCCUACCAAGAAUAUAAACAAAGACAAGAGGUAAAACAUCCAACCAGACAGUCUUCAACAAUUCCAAUUGUCUGAUACAUUGUCUUAGUGCACGUUCGGUUGAUGAAGAAAACAUUCGGAACCCACAUUACGCAGUAUCAGUGUUUGGUCAGCAAACGUUAAGUUAAGAUGUUGCAAUGAUUCUGGUAGCUUGUCUCUGUAUUCGUGUGCCAAUGUGAGUAGAUGGUGUGCGAGGUACAUACAGUUGUUGUGGAAUAAAGCUAAGAACAGUUGUAAUAUCCAGUGGCCAAUAGAUAUAUCUAGGACUUA